CAAAUUGUUCAAAAUUCCUCUUAGCUCCAGAUAAAAUCAUCAGGAUGACAGGUUUAAAGAGUUUUCACAAGAAUGUUGUAGCGGCUUUUGGAUAAUUGUGGCAUUUUUAGAUCAUUAGAAAAGGAGGGGGCUAAAGUUUGUUGGCAACGAGGAUGACGUUUUUAUCUUGGUGUGUAGCCGUUCAGAGAAUAUAUUGUAUGCUGGCAAAAUUGGCCAAUCCCGGAACGAUAAAUUUGGUGCUAUUCACCAACAUGAAGUAAUUUGGUGUGUUCAGGAGACCUCUCCUAGAUGGGGUGGAGCUAUCGCUCUCACUACUGAUAGGGCUUCUAACAAGCAAUUGCAAUGUCAGUACUUUGAAAUCGCGCUGGUUGGCGGUUGUGUACCUAUUGUGGAACUGCCCAAAUCGGUUCAGGAUUAUGGCUAAAUGAACACCUUUUUUCCUGUCUAAAUUAUUUUCACACACAUAGUCUUUUCGACAUUUUUGACUGCAAUAGGGGCUUGCAAUAGCAGAUUGGAGAGAACUUCUUCAGCUCGCCUGGCCGCCAUCAUUGUCAUGCAUCUAAUAUUUGGUAUUGUACCGCCAUAAUUUUGUUUUAUUCUUCAGCGCUUUUUGAAAACCUAAGAUCCUUGAAUGAAGCUGACAGCGAUUGAGGUUGUUAGACGCGUACCAUUAUCCAACCUUUGUUUAAGAACCAAAACAGCAGCAAACACAAA
rnacentral:sRNA from 14 species